rnacentral:rRNA from 1 species
UACGUAGGGUGCAAGCGUUGUCCGGAAUUAUUGGGCGUAAAGAGCUCGUAGGCGGUUUGUCGCGUCUGCUGUGAAAACUCGGGGCUCAACCCCGAGCUUGCAGUGGGUACGGGCAGACUAGAGUGCGGUAGGGGAGACUGGAAUUCCUGGUGUAGCGGUGGAAUGCGCAGAUAUCAGGAGGAACACCGGUGGCGAAGGCGGGUCUCUGGGCCGUAACUGACGCUGAGGAGCGAAAGCGUGGGGAGCAAACAGG